rnacentral:tRNA from 1 species
ACGGGGUUAGCUCAGUUGGUUAGAGCGUGGUGCUAAUAACGCCAAGGUCACAGGUUCAGUCCCUGCUUACUGCA